rnacentral:rRNA from 1 species
UACGUAAGGGGCAAGCGUUGUCCGGAAUCACUGGGCGUAAAGCGCGCUUAGGCGGUUUGGUAAGUCGGGUGUGAAAGCCCCGGGCUCAACCCGGGAAUUGCGCCCGAAACUGCCUCACUGGAGGACCGGAGAGGUGCACGGAAUUCCCGGUGUAGGGGUGAAAUCCAUAGAUAUCGGGAGGAACACCAAUGGGGAAGGCAGUGCACGGGACGGUUCCUGACGCUGAGGUGCGGAAGCGUGGGGAGCGAACGGG